UGCAGAACAGAAAGCCUUCACAGUAAAUUGAACUAAAAGUACACAUAGUACACAGGAUGGAUUAAAUAAAUGAAAGGAGAAGAAAUAAAAGCCAAAAACAUACAAAGUUAACCUGAGCUAAGUAAAGCAAGAUGUAACUAGACAAUUAUAAUAGAGAUAAUCAAAAGUCUUAUCUUUAUGUUUAUUUAUUUAGAUAUCUUCCCUUAUGUAAGAUGACAUUUAAGAGAAAAUUUUGAAUGAAAUAUGUGGCUAGAUAGAUAGAUAGAUAGAUAGAUAGAUAGAUAGAUAGAUAGAUAGAUAGAUAGAUAGAUAGAUAGAUAGAUAGAUAGAACACCAUAUUCAUCUGAAGGGAAAUCAGCAAACUCUUCUAUUGCAGCAGGACAAAGAACAAAAGAACAGCAAAAUGAUUUCCAUAUGCUGUUCACAGAUGCAUAAGUAGAAGAAGUAAAGAUAAAUAGCAAAAUCUACUAAAACAACAGUAAUAAUAUAAUGUUCAGUGCAAAAAUAAGUAGUAAAAUCGCAUAAAUUCUAUGCAGGCAGCGAUGCAGUGGUGUAUGUCCCCUCCGGUGACUAUGCACUGUAAAUGAUAACCUCUGUUAACAGGUGUGCGAUAUGGAAUAUUUAUGGAUGUAUAAAAAAAGUGGCAGUGCAAUGCGCAGUAUUCACAGACAUUUAAAACAUUUCAAAGACAGAUCAAAUUGAUAUUCUAACGCAUCAGAAAAAUAUGCAUAUACUUACUUUUUAGGGCAAACAAGUAAAACAGAAGCAGCCCUCGUGACAUGUUGAAAGUCUUUUAGAGCUUUAAGGGUGACCUUCAUCCUCCGAACAGCAGCGGCGUGUCCUUCAGCCUACAAACACCCGCCCCUUUAAAAGCGAUGGCUGUACAACAGGCCACUUUAUCCAAACAUAUACAGUAAAAAACAGCUGCUUUAACUUAAACAAGUCAGCGUUUCUACUGCCUUACAAUCUUGAGUCAACUGAAUUUCGCUUGGACGCAGAAUGAGCCAUUAGGCCCUGAUGUUUUUCCAACCUGGACACGCUGAUGGACA
ensembl:lncRNA